AGAACGAACGCUGGCGGCAUGCCUAACACAUGCAAGUCGAACGCUUCCGGGGCUUCGGUCGCGGAGGAGUGGCGCACGGGUGAGUAGCGCGUGGGAACCUGCCCUGUUGUGGGGGAUAACCGAGGGAAACUUCGGCUAAUACCGCAUACGCCCCGGGACUUGGUCUUCGGAUUAGGUCUGGGGGGAAAGAUUGAUCGCAGCAGGAGGGGCCCGCGUCGGAUUAGCUGGUUGGUGGGGUAACGGCUCACCAAGGCGAUGAUCCGUAGCUGGUCUGAGAGGAUGAUCAGCCACACUGGGACUGAGACACGGCCCAGACUCCUACGGGAGGCAGCAGUGGGGGAAUAUUGGACAAUGGGGGCAACCCUGAUCCAGCAAUGCCGCGUGAGUGAUGAAGGCCUUAGGGUUGUAAAGCUCUUUCGCCCGCGACGAUGAUGACGGUAGCGGGAGAAGAAGCCCGGCUAACUCGUGCCAGCAGCCGCGGU
rnacentral:rRNA from 1 species